CAAAAGAAAUAAAUAUUAAUACGUUUUGCUUGGGUAUUACGAACACAUGUUUAAAACCCAAAGGACUUGGCGGUACUUUAACCCACUUAAGGGAACCUGUCCUUUAAUUCGAUAAUCCACGACAAUCUUAUUUAUUUUAGAACAAUUCAGCUUGUAUACCGUCGUCAUAAGUUAACCUUAAAAAGAAAAAAAGCUAACAAUAAAGAUAAACUCAUUUUUCCUAAUAGGUCAGAUCAAGGUGCAGCCAAUAAAUAAAGAAGGAGAUGGGUUACAAUUAACAAUUUCUAAUGGAAUCUUAAAAGAAAAAUAAAGAGAGAAAUAGGACUUAAAAGUAAUUUGUAAAAACAAAUACCAAUGAAUAAGGAAAUAAAGUGUGC
rnacentral:rRNA from 1 species